rnacentral:rRNA from 1 species
GCUACGGGUGGCUGCAGUGAGGAAUAUUGGUCAAUGGGCGCGAGCCUGAACCAGCCAAGUCGCGUGAGGGAAGACGGUCCUAUGGAUUGUAAACCUCUUUUGUCGGGGAGCAAAAGACGCCACGCGUGGAGUUCCGCGAGUACCCGAAGAAAAAGCAUCGGCUAACUCCGUGCCAGCAGCCGCGGUAAUACGGAGGAUGCGAGCGUUAUCCGGAUUUAUUGGGUUUAAAGGGUGCGCAGGCGGAAGAUCAAGUCAGCGGUAAAAUUGUGGGGCAAAACCUCUUCGUGCCGUUGAAACUGGUUUUCUUGAGUGCACGAGAAGUAUGCGGAAUGCGUGGUGUAGCGGUGAAAUGCAUAGAUAUCACGCAGAACUCCGAUUGCGAAGGCAGCAUACCGGCGCUCAACUGACGCUGAUGCACGAAAGUGUGGGUAUCGAACAGGAUUAGAUACCCUAGUAGUC